rnacentral:rRNA from 1 species
AUGCCAUCAGCCCAUAACCUAUCUCAUGGCAGUAUGACUGUCCAUUAUCCAGUAGUUGCAGCGCACAUUUCACUGAUGCUGCUGGAAUCACUCAUGUGCCGCACAUCGGUUGGAUUCGGUUGGGAUGCACUCCGGGAGAAUCCUGUGCUCCUUGAACAGGCAAUAUUGCAUAUAAAUUCUAGUGAUGCCAUCUUGAUGAUCAAAAGGGAGUGGUACCUGAGAGAGGCUCUGCAAUCUGAAGCUGUGGCUGUGGCUUGCCUUGCUGCUGUUGAUGGGGCGGGCUAUCAGGUUGGGAGUGGACCAAAUCACAAAAGUAAUCUUUCAUUCUGA